GAUGAACGCUGGCGGCGUGCCUAAUACAUGCAAGUCGAGCGAACAGAUAAGGAGCUUGCUCCUUUGACGUUAGCGGCGGACGGGUGAGUAACACGUGGGUAACCUACCUAUAAGACUGGGAUAACUUCGGGAAACCGGAGCUAAUACCGGAUAACAUUUGGAACCGCAUGGUUCUAAAGUGAAAGAUGGUUUUGCUAUCACUUAUAGAUGGACCCGCGCCGUAUUAGCUAGUUGGUAAGGUAACGGCUUACCAAGGCGACGAUACGUAGCCGACCUGAGAGGGUGAUCGGCCACACUGGAACUGAGACACGGUCCAGACUCCUACGGGAGGCAGCAGUAGGGAAUCUUACGCAAUGGGCGAAAGCCUGACGGAGCAACGCCGCGUGAGUGAUGAAGGGUUUCGGCUCGUAAAACUCUGUUAUUAGGGAAGAACAAACGUGUAAGUAACUGUGCACGUCUUGACGGUACCUAAUCAGAAAGCCACGGCUAACUACGUG
rnacentral:rRNA from 1 species